UACAGAGGUCCCAAGCGUUGUUCGGAUUCACUGGGCGUAAAGGGUGCGUAGGCGGUCGGGUAAGUCUGAUGUGAAAUCUCACAGCUUAACUGUGAAACUGCAUUGGAUACUAUCCGGCUCGAGGAAUGGAGGGGAGACUGGAAUACUUGGUGUAGCAGUGAAAUGCGUAGAUAUCAAGUGGAACACCAGUGGCGAAGGCGAGUCUCUGGACAUCUCCUGACACUGAGGCACGAAAGCUAGGGGAGCAAACAGG
rnacentral:rRNA from 1 species